rnacentral:rRNA from 1 species
CGGAUUAUUGGGCGUAAGCGCGCGCAGGUGGUUUCUUAAGUCUGAUGUGAAAGCCCACGGCUCAACCGUGGAGGGUCAUUGGAAACUGGGAGACUUGAGUGCAGAAGAGGAAAGUGGAAUUCCAUGUGUAGCGGUGAAAUGCGUAGAGAUAUGGAGGAACACCAGUGGCGAAGGCGACUUUCUGGUCUGUAACUGACACUGAGGCGCGAAAGCGUGGGGAGCAAACAGGAUUAGAUACCCUGGUAGUCCACGCCGUAAACGAUGAGUGCUAAGUGUUAGAGGGUUUCCGCCCUUUACUGCUGAAGUUAACGCAUUAAGCACUCCGCCUGGGGAGUACGGCCGCAAGGCUGAUACUCAUAGGAAUUGACGG